rnacentral:rRNA from 1 species
GCGGCGGACGGGUGAGUAAUGCCUAGGAAAUUGCCCUGAUGUGGGGGAUAACCAUUGGAAACGAUGGCUAAUACCGCAUGAUGCCUACGGGCCAAAGAGGGGGACCUUCGGGCCUCUCGCGUCAGGAUAUGCCUAGGUGGGAUUAGCUAGUUGGUGAGGUAAGGGCUCACCAAGGCGACGAUCCCUAGCUGGUCUGAGAGGAUGAUCAGCCACACUGGAACUGAGACACGGUCCAGACUCCUACGGGAGGCAGCAGUGGGGAAUAUUGCACAAUGGGCGCAAGCCUGAUGCAGCCAUGCCGCGUGUGUGAAGAAGGCCUUCGGGUUGUAAAGCACUUUCAGUCGUGAGGAAGGUAGUGUAGUUAAUAGCUGCAUUAUUUGACGUUAGCGACAGAAGAAGCACCGGCUAACUCCGUGCC